rnacentral:rRNA from 1 species
GAUGAACGCUAGCGGCAGGCCUAACACAUGCAAGUCGAGGGGUAGAAGGAGCUUGCUCCUUUGAGACCGGCGCACGGGUGCGUAACGCGUAUGCAAUCUACCUUUUACAGGGGAAUAGCCCAGAGAAAUUUGGAUUAAUGCCCCAUAGUAUAUAACCUUCGCAUGUUGGUUAUAUUAAAGUUCCAACGGUACAAGAUGAGCAUGCGUCCCAUUAGUUAGUUGGUAAGGUAACGGCUUACCAAGACGAUGAUGGGUAGGGGUCCUGAGAGGGAGAUCCCCCACACUGGUACUGCGACACGGACCAGACUCCUACGGGAGGGAGCAGUGAGGACUAUUGGUCACUGGUCGCAAGACUGAACCAGCCAUGCCGCGUGCAGGAAGACGGUCCUAUGGAUUGUAAACUGCUUUUAUACAGGAAGAAACCCUCCAACGGGUGGGAGCUUGACGGUACUGAAGGAAUAAGGAUCGGCUAACUCCGUG